UACGAAGGGGGCUAGCGUUGCUCGGAAUUACUGGGCGUAAAGCGCACGUAGGCGGCUUGUUAAGUCAGGGGUGAAAUCCUGGAGCUCAACUCCAGAACUGCCUUUGAUACUGGCGAGCUUGAGUUCGGGAGAGGUGAGUGGAACUGCGAGUGUAGAGGUGAAAUUCGUAGAUAUUCGCAAGAACACCAGUGGCGAAGGCGGCUCACUGGCACGAUACUGACGCUGAGGUGCGAAAGCGUGGGGAGCGAACAGG
rnacentral:rRNA from 1 species